GAUGAACGCUAGCUACAGGCUUAACACAUGCAAGUCGAGGGGAAACGACAUCGAAAGCUUGCUUUUGAUGGGCGUCGACCGGCGCACGGGUGAGUAACGCGUAUCCAACCUGCGAACCACUUGGGGAUAACCUUGAGAAAGUAAGACUAAUAACUAAUGAUAUCUGUAGAAGACAUCUGAAAGGGAUUAAAGAUUUAUAGGUGAUGGAUGGGGAUGCGUCUGAUUAGCUUGUGGGCGGGGUAACGGCCCACCAAGGCGACGAUCAGUAGGGGUUCUGAGAGGAAGGUCCCCCACAUUGGAACUGAGACACGGUCCAAACUCCUACGGGAGGCAGCAGUGAGGAAUAUUGGUCAAUGGGCGAGAGCCUGAACCAGCCAAGUAGCGUGCAGGAUGACGGCCCUAUGGGUUGUAAACUGCUUUUAUAAGGGAAUAAAGUGGGAGUCGUGACUCUUUUUGCAUGUACCUUAUGAAUAAGGACCGGCUAAUUCCGUGCCAGCCGCCGCGGUAA
rnacentral:rRNA from 1 species